rnacentral:rRNA from 1 species
CAGUAGCCGCGGUAAAACGGAGGGUGCAAGCGUUAAUCGGAAUUACUGGGCGUAAAGCGCACGCAGGCGGUCUGUCAAGUCAGAUGUGAAAUCCCCGGGCUUAACCUGGGAACUGCAUUUGAAACUGGCAGGCUAGAGUCUUGUAGAGGGGGGUAGAAUUCCAGGUGUAGCGGUGAAAUGCGUAGAGAUCUGGAGGAAUACCGGUGGCGAAGGCGGCCCCCUGGACAAAGACUGACGCUCAGGUGCGAAAGCGUGGGGAGCAAACAGGAUUAGAUACCCCGGUAGUCCCUGUCUCUUAUAU